UCUGAUUUAACAUAUAUCAAUGUGAAAGAUUGUAAAUCUUUUAAAAGUCAUGUGACUA
rnacentral:tRNA from 1 species